rnacentral:snRNA from 12 species
AUCUUUAUGCUCGGGCAUUACGCAUAUCAGUGAGGAUUCGUCCGAGAUUGUGUAUUUGCUGGUUGAAAACUUAACCAUGACCGCUCUCUAUUGCCUUGUGGCUUGCCACAGUCGGCUUUAGAGGAAUUUUUGGAACCUCAAGAUCGAAGUGAG